GUUGAAAAGCAGCCUGUUACAGUGUGGGAUUCAUAAAAGGGCCUCUAUGGUGUGUGAGAAAGAAUAUCUGUGUGCCUAGGCAGGAAACUUUUUGAUCUACAGAAAAGCCAGAAGACAUCUAGCAUACCAGAAUAGGAGUCCUGUCUUAACUGAGCAAUAUACACUAUGGAGAGAUCCUUCAAAACCCGUCGGGACGAAUAACAGAUGAAUUCAUAAAACUGUUCAUCUCUGUUAUCCUGAAUGGUCACUCAGACAACAUUUUACUCAACUAUAAAGGGGAACACUUAAAGUGCAUAUGAGAAGAGAAGAGAAUGACCACAGGAGAAAAUCAUCUCAGGCCACGAUUUCCUAACCAGAAUCUGUAAGAGAGAUUCCAAGAACUUGGUAAGAGAUAGGAACACAGUGGGGCCUAAACAGAGGACAGUUUCUGUAAUCACUUGUAAUAUCUAUAAUGUUAUACUAGAUGAAUGGAAAUAUGAGCAUUGUUGAAAGGUGUAAUGUUUCAAAGUUUUACAAAUGAAUUUUAUAUUAAAAUAUAAGCUAUAUUGACAAAAUAUGUGAUUAUACUGUAUAUGAAGAGUAAAAUAAAACAAAAGGUACAACAACAUUUUUGUUUUAAGUGGGAUAGAAAGGUGUGUGGUUCAUGCCUCAGAUGGCUAUACAAAUACAAAAAAUUUAGACACCUCUCACAGAAAUAUAAAUGGAGCUAUAAAUAAAUAUGAAAUACUAAAAAAAAUGGAUAGCUAGCAAAUCAUUGGUGAACUAAAUAGCUUUGAAAAGGAAAAACUGGUAAGAAAUGUCUGUGAGACUUGUACCUUAUAAAUAGAAACUAUAUUUUUCAAGAGUGUACUGUUCACUCUCAAAAUAUGCCAAAA
rnacentral:lncRNA from 1 species